AUUGAACGCUGGCGGCAGGCCUAACACAUGCAAGUCGAACGAGUGGCGGACGGGUGAGUAAUGUCUGGGAAACUGCCUGAUGGAGGGGGAUAACUACUGGAAACGGUAGCUAAUACCGCAUACCAUCGGAUGUGCCCAGAUGGGAUUAGCUAGUAGGUGGGGUAACGGCUCAACUAGGCGACGAUCCCUAGCUGGUCUGAGAGGAUGACCAGCCACACUGGAAUUGAGAAACGGUGCAGAGUCCUACGGGAGGCAGACGUGGGGAGUAUUGAACAAUGGGCGCGAGCCUGAUGCAGCCAUGCGGCGUGUAUGAAGAAGGCCGUCGGGUUGUAAAGUACUUUCAGCGGGGAGGCGUUACCCGCAGAAGAAGCACCGGCGAACUCCGGGCCAGCAGACGCGGUAAUUC
rnacentral:rRNA from 1 species